rnacentral:rRNA from 1 species
UACGAAGGGGGCUAGCGUUGCUCGGAAUCACUGGGCGUAAAGGGUGCGUAGGCGGGUCUUUAAGUCAGGGGGGAAAUCCUGGAGCUCAACUCCAGAACUGCCUUUGAUACUGAGGAUCUUGAGUUCGGGAGAGGUGAGUGGAACUGCGAGUGUAGAGGUGAAAUUCGUAGAUAUUCGCAAGAACACCAGUGGCGAAGGCGGCUCACUGGCCCGAUACUGACGCUGAGGCGCGAAAGCGUGGGGAGCAAGCAGG